rnacentral:rRNA from 1 species
AACGAACGCUGGCGGCAUGCCUAACACAUGCAAGUCGAACGAUCACUUCGGUGAUAGUGGCGCACGGGUGCGUAACGCGUGGGAACCUGCCCUUAGGUUCGGAAUAACUCAGAGAAAUUUGAGCUAAUACCGGAUAAUGUCUUCGGACCAAAGAUUUAUCGCCUUUGGAUGGGCCCGCGUUGGAUUAGCUUGUUGGUGGGGUAAAAGCCUACCAAGGCGACGAUCCAUAGCUGGUCUGAGAGGAUGAUCAGCCACACUGGGACUGAGACACGGCCCAGACUCCUACGGGAGGCAGCAGUGGGGAAUAUUGGACAAUGGGCGCAAGCCUGAUCCAGCAAUGCCGCGUGAGUGAUGAAGGCCUUAGGGUUGUAAAGCUCUUUUACUAGGGAUGAUAAUGACAGUACCUAGAGAAUAAGCUCCGGCUAACUCCGUG